rnacentral:rRNA from 1 species
GUAUGAACGCUAGCUACAGGCUUAACACAUGCAAGUCGAGGGGCAGCAUGGUCUUAGCUUGCUAAGGCCGAUGGCGACCGGCGCACGGGUGAGUAACACGUAUCCAACCUGCCGUCUACUCUUGGACAGCCUUCUGAAAGGAAGAUUAAUACAAGAUGGCAUCAUGAGUCCGCAUGUUCACAUGAUUAAAGGUAUUCCGGUAGACGAUGGGGAUGCGUUCCAUUAGAUAGUAGGCGGGGUAACGGCCCACCUAGUCUUCGAUGGAUAGGGGUUCUGAGAGGAAGGUCCCCCACAUUGGAACUGAGACACGGUCCAAACUCCUACGGGAGGCAGCAGUGAGGAAUAUUGGUCAAUGGGCGCAGGCCUGAACCAGCCAAGUAGCGUGAAGGAUGACUGCCCUAUGGGUUGUAAACUUCUUUUAUAAAGGAAUAAAGUCGGGUAUGGAUACCCGUUUGCAUGUACUUUAUGAAUAAGGAUCGGCUAACUCCGUGCCAGCAGCCGCGGUAAUACGGAGGAUCCGAGCGUUAUCCGGAUUUAUUGGGUUUAAAGGGAGCGUAGAUGGAUGUUUAAGUCAGUUGUGAAAGUUUGCGGCUCAACCGUAAAAUUGCAGUUGAUACUGGAUAUCUUGAGUGCAGUUGAGGCAGGCGGAAUUCGUGGUGUAGCGGUGAAAUGCUUAGAUAUCACGAAGAACUCCGAUUGCGAAGGCAGCCUGCUAAGCUGCAACUGACAUUGAGGCUCGAAAGUGUGGGUAUCAAACAGGAUUAGAUACCCUGGUAGUCCACACGGUAAACGAUGAAUACUCGCUGUUUGCGAUAUACUGCAAGCGGCCAAGCGAAAGCGUUAAGUAUUCCACCUGGGGAGUACGCCGGCAACGGUGAAACUCAAAGGAAUUGACGGGGGCCCGCACAAGCGGAGGAACAUGUGGUUUAAUUCGAUGAUACGCGAGGAACCUUACCCGGGCUUAAAUUGCAGAUGAAUUACGGUGAAAGCCGUAAGCCGCAAGGCAUCUGUGAAGGUGCUGCAUGGUUGUCGUCAGCUCGUGCCGUGAGGUGUCGGCUUAAGUGCCAUAACGAGCGCAACCCUUGUUGUCAGUUACUAACAGGUUCCGCUGAGGACUCUGACAAGACUGCCAUCGUAAGAUGUGAGGAAGGUGGGGAUGUCGUCAAAUCAGCACGGCCCUUACGUCCGGGGCUACACACGUGUUACAAUGGGGGGUACAGAGGGCCGCUACCACGCGAGUGGAUGCCAAUCCCAAAAACCUCUCUCAGUUCGGACUGGAGUCUGCAACCCGACUCCACGAAGCUGGAUUCGCUAGUAAUCGCGCAUCAGCCACGGCGCGGUGAAUACGUUCCCGGGCCUUGUACACACCGCCCGUCAAGCCAUGGGAGCCGGGGGUACCUGAAGUGCGUAACCGCGAGGAGCGCCCUAGGGUAAAACU